AAUUUUGAAUCUGGCGGUCCUUGACCGUCCGAGUUGUAAUCUAGAGAAGCGUCUUCCGCGCUGGACCGUGUAUAAGUCUCCUGGAAGGGAGCUGUCGUAGAGGGUGACAAUCCCGUCUUUGACACGGAUACCAGGGCUAUGUGAUGCGCUCUCGACGAGUCGAGUUGUUUGGGAAUGCAGCUCAAAUAGGGUGGUAAACUCCAUCUAAAGCUAAAUACAGGCGAGAGACCGAUAGCGAACAAGUACCGUGAGGGAAAGAUGAAAAGAACUUUGGAAAGAGAGUUAAACAGUACGUGAAAUUGCUGAAAGGGAAACGCUUGAUGUCAGUCGCGUCGAUCGGGGAUCAGCCUUGCGUUAGUUCGCUGGGCGUACUUCCUGGUCGACGGGUCAGCAUCAAUUUCGCUCGUCGUACAAGGGCGGAGGAAAUGUGGCACUCUUCGGAGUGUGUUAUAGUCCUUCGUCGGAUGCGACGGGGUUGAGAUUGAGGAACUCAGCACGACCUCUUCGAGGGUUCGGGACUUCGGUCCACGCUCGCGUGCUUAGGAUGCUGGCAUAAUGGCCUUAAGCGACCCGUCUUGAAACACGGACCAAGGAGUCUAACAUGCCUGCGAGUGUUUGGGUGGAAAACUCGAGCGCGCAAUGAAAGUGAAAGUCGAGACCUCUGUCGUGGAGGGCACCGACGCCCGGACCUGAGCCUUUGGCGACGGAUCUGCGGUAGAGCAUGUAUGUUGGGACCCGAAAGAUGGUGAACUAUGCCUGAAUAGGGUGAAGCCAGAGGAAACUCUGGUGGA
rnacentral:rRNA from 1 species